AUUGAACGCUGGCGGCAUGCUUUACACAUGCAAGUCGAACGGUAACAGGCCGCAAGGUGCUGACGAGUGGCGAACGGGUGAGUAAUGCAUCGGAACGUGCCCAGUCGUGGGGGAUAACGCAGCGAAAGCUGCGCUAAUACCGCAUACGAUCUAUGGAUGAAAGCGGGGGACCGUAAGGCCUCGUGCGAUUGGAGCGGCCGAUGUCAGAUUAGGUAGUUGGUGGGGUAAAGGCUCACCAAGCCAAUGAUCUGUAGCUGGUCUGAGAGGACGACCAGCCACACUGGGACUGAGACACGGCCCAGACUCCUACGGGAGGCAGCAGUGGGGAAUUUUGGACAAUGGGCGCAAGCCUGAUCCAGCAAUGCCGCGUGCAGGAAGAAGGCCUUCGGGUUGUAAACUGCUUUUGUACGGAACGAAACGGCUCUCUCUAAUACAGGGGGCUAAUGACGGUACCGUAAGAAUAAGCACCGGCUAACUACGUGCCAGCCGCCGCCGUAAAAC
rnacentral:rRNA from 1 species